GACGAACGCUGGCGGCGUGCUUAACACAUGCAAGUCGAACGGUGAAGCGCCUUCCUUUUUGGUGGGUGUGGAUGAGUGGCGAACGGGUGAGUAACACGUGAGUAACCUGCCCCCUUCUUCUGGAUAACCGCAUGAAAGUGUGGCUAAUACGGGAUAUUCUGGGUCUGUCGCAUGAUGGGUCUGGGAAAGAUAUUGUUUCGGUGGGGGAUGGGCUCGCGGCCUAUCAGCUUGUUGGUGGGGUCAUGGCCUACCAAGGCGGUGGCGGUUAGGAAGCCUGAGAGAGUGGACAGUCACAAUGGGAAGGAGAAACGGCCCAGACACGUACGAGGGGCAGCAGUGGGGAAUAUUGCACAAUGGGGGAAAAACUGAUGCAGCGACGCCGCGUGAGGAAUGGAGGCCGUAGGUUUGUAAACCUCUUUCGCGAGUGAAGCCGGGCUGCCUAGUUUGUGGAUGGGUUGACGGUAGCUGGAUAAGAAGCGCCGGCUAACUACGUG
rnacentral:rRNA from 1 species